rnacentral:rRNA from 1 species
AUUGAACGCUGGCGGCAUGCCUUACACAUGCAAGUCGAACGGUAACAGGUCUUCGGAUGCUGACGAGUGGCGAACGGGUGAGCAAUACAUCGGAACGUGCCUAGUAGUGGGGGAUAACUACUCGAAAGAGUGGCUAAUACCGCAUGAGAUCUACGGAUGAAAGCAGGGGAUCGCAAGACCUUGUGCUACUAGAGCGGCCGAUGGCAGAUUAGGUAGUUGGUGGGAUAAAAGCUUACCAAGCCGACGAUCUGUAGCGGGUCUGAGAGGACUAUCAGCCACACUGGGACUGAGACACGGCCCAGACUCCUACGGGAGGCAGCAGUGGGGAAUUUUGGACAAUGGGCGCAAGCCUGAUCCAGCAAUGCCGCGUGCAGGAUGAAGGCCUUCGGGUUGUAAACUGCUUUUGUACGGAAUGAAAAGCCCUGGGUUAAUACCCUGGGGUCAUGACGGUACCGUAAGAAUAAGCACCGGCUAACUACGUGCCAGCAGCCGCCGUAACAC